rnacentral:rRNA from 1 species
AUUGAACGCUGGCGGCAUGCCUUACACAUGCAAGUCGAACGGCAGCACGGGGCAACCUGGUGGCGAGUGGCGAACGGGUGAGUAAUGCAUCGGAACGUACCUUUCAGUGGGGGAUAACGUAGCGAAAGUUACGCUAAUACCGCAUAUUCUGUGAGCAGGAAAGCAGGGGAUCGCAAGACCUUGCGCUGAUUGAGCGGCCGAUGUCAGAUUAGCUAGUUGGUGAGGUAAAGGCUCACCAAGGCGACGAUCUGUAGCGGGUCUGAGAGGAUGAUCGGCCACACUGGAACGGGGACACGGGCCAGACUCCUACGAGAGUCAGGAGUGGGGAAUUUUGGACAAUGGGGGCAACCCUGAUCCAGCCAUGCCGCGUGAGUGAAGAAGGCCUUCGGGUUGUAAAGCUCUUUCGGCCGGGAAGAAAUCGCACGGGCUAAUACCCUGUGUGGAUGACGGUACCGGAAUAAGAAGCACCGGCUAACUACGUGCCAGCCGCCGCAGUAAGAC